rnacentral:rRNA from 1 species
CCUACGGGGGGCAGCAGGGAGGAAGAUUGGUCAAUGGACGAGAGUCGGAACCAGCCAAGGAGCGUGAAGGAUGACUGCCCUAUGGGUUGUAAACUUCUUUUAUAUGGGAAUAAAAUGUUCCACGUGUGGGAUUUUGUAUGUACCCUAUGAAUAAGGAUCGGCUAACUCCGUGCCAGCAGCCGCGGUAAUACGGAGGGUCCGAGCGUUAUCCGGAUUUAUUGGGUUUAAAGGGAGCGUAGGUGGGUUGUUAAGUCAGUUGUGAAAGUUUGCGGCUCAACCGUAAAAUUGCAGUUGAAACUGGCAGUCUUGAGUACAGUAGAGGUGGGCGGAAUUCGUGGUGUAGCGGUGAAAUGCUUAGAUAUCACGAAGAACUCCGAUUGCGAAGGCAGUUCACUGGACUGCAACUGACACUGAGGCUCGAAAGUGUUGGUAUCAAACAGGAUUAGAUACCCCUGUAGUC